rnacentral:rRNA from 1 species
GUUUCUAUCUAUGAAGUGCUUUCUUCCAGUACGAAAGGAUCGAAGAAAGGAGGCCCAUGCUUAGAGUAAACCUCUCCCCCAUCUGAUGAAAACAACUCAAUCAGACAUAAGGACACCCCUGCCGUGCCGUAGAUCACAGCU